UGGACCAUGAUGGGAACCAGAAAGCCACUUAUAUGAACAUCACCUGUCUGUUAUCUACCUGCAUGAGUACUGGUGAAGGUGGUCAUCGGCCAUCAAGUUCUAGAUUUCAGUGGCUAAUAGGGGAUGUGAAAUGCCUCUUCCAGUGAAACUACGAAUCAUUCUUGGAGAA